rnacentral:rRNA from 1 species
UCCGUAGGGUGCAAGCGUUACUCGGAAUUACUGGGCGUAAAGCGUGCGCAGGCGGUGAUGUAAGACAGAUGUGAAAUCCCCGGGCUCAACCUGGGAACUGCAUUUGUGACUGCAUCGCUGGAGUGCGGCAGAGGGGGAUGGAAUUCCGCGUGUAGCAGUGAAAUGCGUAGAUAUGCGGAGGAACACCGAUGGCGAAGGCAAGCCCCUGGGCCUGCACUGACGCUCAUGCACGAAAGCGUGGGGAGCAAACAGG